rnacentral:misc_RNA from 1 species
UGGUGAACCAGCGGAGGGAUCAUUACCGAGUUUACAACUCCCAAACCCCUGUGAACAUACCUAUCGUUGCCUCGGCGGUGCCCGCUCCGGCGGCCCGCCAGAGGACCCCCAAACUCUUGUUUUAUACAGUAUCUUCUGAGUAACACGAUUAAAUAAAUCAAAACUUUCAACAACGGAUCUCUUGGUUCUGG